CAGCAGCCGCGGUAAUACGUAGGGUGCGAGCGUUAAUCGGAAUUACUGGGCGUAAAGCGUGCGCAGGCGGUUGUGUAAGACAGGUGUGAAAUCCCCGGGCUUAUCCUGGGAACUGCGCUUGUGACUGCACAGCUAGAGUAUGGCAGAGGGGGGUGGAAUUCCACGUGUAGCAGUGAAAUGCGUAGAGAUGUGGAGGAACACCGAUGGCGAAGGCAGCCCCCUGGGCCAAUACUGACGCUCAUGCACGGAAGCGUGGGGAGCAAACAGGAUUAGAUACCCCCGUAGUCCCUGUCUCUUAUAC
rnacentral:rRNA from 1 species